rnacentral:lncRNA from 1 species
UUUUCUUUUCUUUUGUUUUUUGCAGAUUUCAUGGAUAAACUUUGGAAAUGCAUAGAAAUUCGUAGAAAAGUCGUAAAAUAGCAAAUGUGGUCUUUUUGGAAUCCUUGUGAAAUUCUCUAUGCAGUAGAUCUAUAAUAUGGCAUGUUUUAGUUUGCAGAUUUAGUCUUAAAAAUAGAUUUAUGCAGUUAGGUUUUAAUUGCUUGUUAUAUUUGUCUUUUUCA